rnacentral:rRNA from 1 species
UACGUAGGUGGCAAGCGUUGUCCGGAAUUAUUGGGCGUAAAGCGCGCGCAGGCGGUCCUUUAAGUCUGAUGUGAAAGCCCACGGCUCAACCGUGGAGGGUCAUUGGAAACUGGGGGACUUGAGUGCAGGAGAGAAGAGUGGAAUUCCACGUGUAGCGGUGAAAUGCGUAGAGAUCCGGAGGAACACCAGAGGCGAAGGCGGCCUACUGGGCCAGUACUGACGCUGAGCCGCGAAAGCCAGGGGAGCGAACGGG